rnacentral:misc_RNA from 1 species
GCACCCUCGAACCCGGCAAGCUUUUCAAUUGCUUGCUAGGGACUUCGGACCUGGGCCAUGCGGGCUUUUUCAGGGAAGCUCGCCGGCCUGAAAUCCAGUCGCGACCGCACCCGAACCCUACUUUCUGGGCUCUGGGAGAAGGCGUCAUAGUUGGCCCCCUGGGUCAUCUUUCGCCGAUCCUCUCACGUCCUCUGGGCUUGGGCCUUUCCAGGAACGCGCAAAUCUGUCCCGGGCAAAGGGGGAGGAAAUCCCCUCCGGACAGCCUCUCAUAA